rnacentral:rRNA from 1 species
AUUGAACGCUGGCGGCAUGCUUUACACAUGCAAGUCGAACGGUAACAGGCCGCAAGGUGCUGACGAGUGGCGAACGGGUGAGUAAUGCAUCGGAACGUGCCCAGUCGUGGGGGAUAACUACUCGAAAGAGUAGCUAAUACCGCAUACGAUCUAUGGAUGAAAGCGGGGGACCGUAAGGCCUCGCGCGAUUGGAGCGGCCGAUGUCAGAUUAGGUAGUUGGUGGGGUAAAGGCUCACCAAGCCAACGAUCUGUAGCUGGUCUGAGAGGACGACCAGCCCCACUGGGGGAUGACAACGCCCACAACUCCAACGGGGGCCACCGGGGGGGUAUUUGGACGAACGGGCCGAGGCUACCCCCAGAAGUCCCGCGUCCAGAAAGAGGCCCUUGGCGUUGAAAGCUGUUUUAGACGGAACCAAAGCACAUUUGUUUAAUCCCCGGGUUUAGCGGCGCAACCUAAGAAAAAAGCCCGGCCCAACUCCGUG